AUUGAACGCUGGCGGCAUGCCUAACACAUGCAGGUCGAACGGCAGCACGGCAGUAGCAAUACUGUGGGUGGCGAGUGGCGGACGGGUGAGGAAUACGUCGGAAUCUGCCCAGUCGUGGGGGAUAACUAGCCGAAAGGUUAGCUAAUACCGCAUACGACCGAGAGGUGGAAGCGGGGGACCGCAAGGCCUCGCGCGAUUGGAUGAGCCGACGUCGGAUUAGCUAGUUGGUGGGGUAAAGGCCCACCAAGGCGACGAUCCGUAGCUGGUCUGAGAGGAUGAUCAGCCACACUGGAACUGAGACACGGUCCAGACUCCUACGGGAGGCAGCAGUGGGGAAUAUUGGACAAUGGGCGCAAGCCUGAUCCAGCAAUGCCGCGUGUGUGAAGAAGGCC
rnacentral:rRNA from 1 species